rnacentral:rRNA from 1 species
GGGAACACGUUCGAAAGGAACGCUAAUACCGCAUACGUCCUACGGGAGAAAGCAGGGGACCUUCGGGCCUUGCGCUAUCAGAUGAGCCUAGGUCGGAUUAGCUAGUUGGUGAGGUAAUGGCUCACCAAGGCGACGAUCCGUAACUGGUCUGAGAGGAUGAUCAGUCACACUGGAACUGAGACACGGUCCAGACUCCUACGGGAGGCAGCAGC